rnacentral:snoRNA from 1 species
UCUAAAAACUGAUACCAUUUACUUAAAAACAAUCAAACAAAAUACCUUUUGUCUACAGAAAGCAGCAAUCCUACAUAAACGAGGAGGUCUCUGUGUGACUUAGAACAGCUGGCUAAGUGGGAUCGUUCCCUUCCACACACU